GCCCAUUAAAUUAUUUACAUUUGUUUUACUUUAAAUAUGCUAUAAUGUGACUUUUCCAGAUACAUGUAUGCACAAAAAAUCUACCAUCUAAAUAAUUGUGACCUUUUUUUCUGUGUAUUCAAACAUUUAUUUGAUUAAUAUAUUUCAUACAUGUAAAUUAUGACUUUUCUGCUCCAUUUAGAAAACUUUACUCUGUCAUAUAUUGCUACUUUUAUUGCUACUUUUGUCUUGUGAUUUUUUUCCUGUGACAUUGUCCAGUGACUUUUUCCCUAUAGUAUUUGUGCCUAUUUUGCUUGUGACUUUUUUCAUUUUAACAAAAUUAGAAAUCUUAUAAAAAUAGCCUUUUCCUUUAGUUUAGUUCAACUUAAGAAUUUCAUUUUAUGCACAAAUUGGAAUGUCAUUUUUAGCUCACCUGACCCAAAGGGUCAAUGACACUAUAUUGACCCUUAAGGACAUUAAAGUCAAUUUUUAAAACUAUUUUUCGUAAAUUUUUGUAAUCUUUUACAAAAAUAUUCUCCACUUAAUCUACAAUGCCAAAUACAUUUAAACAUUGAUGCGCCAUAUACAUUAACACAAUGUUUACGUUAUAAACUAAUAUAUUUACAGCCUGACGCUUCACACGGUUGCACAUUAUUCAAAUAGCAAUACUAUUGUAAAUGACCAAAUUAGGAGACGUUUUGAUAAUACUUCACUUAUGAUCACGAAGAAAAAGACUGAUCGCAUCAAAUAACGUAGAUUUAAAUUUUAAAGUUCAUUGUUUGUGUUUUAAACAGAAAUAUUUUAUAUUAAUUUUUACAAAGCCAUAUGACUCAUCCAAAUUUCAUGUUUGUUAAUUUAAUGACACUUUUAAUUAAUUACAG
rnacentral:lncRNA from 1 species